GGGUAGGAGCAGCUUGCUGCUUUGAGACCGGCGCACGGGUGCGUAACGCGUAUGCAAUCUACCUUGUACAGGGGGAUAGCCCAGAGAAAUUUGGAUUAAUACCCCAUGGUGUUUAAGAGUGGCAUCACUUUUUUACUAAAGUUCCAACGGUACAAGAUGAGCAUGCGUCCCAUUAGCUAGUUGGUAUGGUAACGGCAUACCAAGGCUAUGAUGGGUAGGGGUCCUGAGAGGGAGAUCCCCCACACUGGUACUGAGACACGGACCAGACUCCUACGGGAGGCAGCAGUGAGGAAUAUUGGUCAAUGGUCGCAAGACUGAACCAGCCAUGCCGCGUGCAGGAAGACGGUCCUAUGGAUUGUAAACUGCUUUUAUACAGGAAGAAACCCUCUCACGUGUGGGAGCUUGACGGUACUGUAUGAAUAAGCAUCGGCUAACUCCGUGCCAGCAGCCGCGGUAAUACGGAGGAUGCGAGCGUUAUCCGGAAUCAUUGGGUUUAAAGGGUCCGUAGGCGGUUUAAUAAGUCAGUGGUGAAAUCUGGUCGCUCAACGAUCAAACUGCCAUUGAUACUGUUAGACUUGAAUAAUUGUGAAGUAACUAGAAUAUGUAGUGUAGCGGUGAAAUGCUUAGAUAUUACAUGGAAUACCAAUUGCGAAGGCAGGUUACUAACAAUUUAUUGACGCUGAUGGACGAAAGCGUGGGGAGCGAACAGGAUUAGAUACCCUGGUAGUCCACGCCGUAAACGAUGGAUACU
rnacentral:rRNA from 1 species